GACGAACGCUGGCGGCGUGCCUAAUACAUGCAAGUCGAACGAGAGCGACCGGUGCUUGCACUGGUCAAUCUAGUGGCGAACGGGUGAGUAACACGUGGGUAACCUGCCCAUCAGAGGGGGAUAACAUCCGGAAACGGAUGCUAAAACCGCAUAGGUCUUCGAGCCGCAUGGCUUGAAGAGGAAAAGAGGCGCAAGCUUCUGCUGAUGGAUGGACCCGCGGUGCAUUAGCUAGUUGGUGAGGUAACGGCUCACCAAGGCCGUGAUGCAUAGCCGACCUGAGAGGGUGAUCGGCCACAUUGGGACUGAGACACGGCCCAAACUCCUACGGGAGGCAGCAGUAGGGAAUCUUCCGCAAAGGACGCAAGUCUGACGGAGCAACGCCGCGUGAGUGAAGAAGGUUUUCGGAUCGUAAAACUCUGUUGUUAGAGAAGAACAAGUGCUAGGGUAACUGUUAGCGCCUUGACGGUAUCUAACCAGAAAGCCACGGCUAACUACGUG
rnacentral:rRNA from 1 species